UACGUAGGGUGCAAGCGUUAUCCGGAAUUAUUGGGCGUAAAGAGCUCGUAGGCGGUCUGUCGCGUCUGCUGUGAAAUCUGGGGGCUCAACCCCCCAGCCUGCAGUGGGUACGGGCAGACUAGAGUGCGGUAGGGGAGAUUGGAACUCCUGGUGUAGCGGUGGAAUGCGCAGAUAUCAGGAAGAACACCGAUGGCGAAGGCAGAUCUCUGGGCCGUAACUGACGCUGGAGGAGCGAAAGCAUGGGGAGCGAACAGG
rnacentral:rRNA from 1 species